AGGGUUGUGGCUCAGUGGUAGAGCGCUUGCCUAGCAUGUGUGAAACACUGGGUUCGAUCCCCAGCAACACAU
rfam:Ictidomys tridecemlineatus contig042187, whole genome shotgun sequence.